rnacentral:rRNA from 1 species
UCYGGUUGAUCCUGCCRGACCCGACUGCUAUCAGAGUAGGACUAAGCCAUGCGAGUCAACGCCGCAAGGCGUGGCAUACGGCUCAGUAACACGUAGUCAACAUGCCCAAAGGACGUGGAUAACCUCGGGAAACUGAGGAUAAACCGCGAUAGGCCAAGGUUUUCUGGAAUGAGCCCUGGCCGAAAUCUAUAUGGCCUUUGGAUUGGACUGCGGCCGAUCAGGCUGUUGGUGAGGUAAUGGCCCACCAAACCUGUAACCGGUACGGGCUUUGAGAGAAGGAGCCCGGAGAUGGGCACUGAGACAAGGGCCCAGGCCCUAUGGGGCGCAGCAGGCGCGAAACCUCUGCAAUAGGCGAAAGCCUGACAGGGUUACUCUGAGUGAUGCCCGCUAAGGGUAUCUUUUGGCACCUCUAAAAAUGGUGCAGAAUAAGGGGUGGGCAAGUCUGGUGUCAGCCGCCGCGGUAAUACCAGCACCCCGAGUUGUCGGGACGAUUAUUGGGCCUAAAGCAUCCGUAGCCUGUUCUGCAAGUCCUCCGUUAAAUCCACCUGCUCAACGGAUGGGCUGCGGAGGAUACCGCAGAGCUAGGAGGCGGGAGAGGCAAACGGUACUCAGUGGGUAGGGGUAAGAUCCAUUGAUCUACUGAAGACCACCAGUGGCGAAGGCGGUUUGCCAGAACGCGCUCGACGGUGAGGGAUGAAAGCUGGGGGAGCAAACCGGAUUAGAUACCCGGGUAGUCCCAGCUGUAAACGAUGCAGACUCGGUGAUGGGUUGGCCUCGAGCCAACCCAGUGCCGCAGGGAAGCCGUUUAAGUCUGCCGCCUGGGGAGUACGGUCGCAAGACUGAAACUUAAAGGAAGUUGGCGGGGGAGCACCCACAAGGGGUGAAGCCUGCGGUUCAAUUGGABUCAACGCCGGR